rnacentral:rRNA from 1 species
UCGAGCGGUAAGGCCCUUCGGGGUACACGAGCGGCGAACGGGUGAGUAACACGUGAGCAACCUGCCCCUGACUCCGGGAUAAGCGGUGGAAACGCCGUCUAAUACCGGAUAUGACCUGCCACCUCAUGGUGGCGGGUGGAAAGUUUUGUCGGUCAGGGAUGGGCUCGCGGCCUAUCAGCUUGUUGGUGGGGUAACGGCCUACCAAGGCGAUUACGGGUAGCCGGCCUGAGAGGGCGACCGGCCACACUGGGACUGAGACACGGCCCAGACUCCUGCGGGAGGCAGCAGUGGGGAAUAUUGCACAAUGGGCGAAAGCCUGAUGCAGCGACGCCGCGUGGGGGAUGACGGCCUUCGGGUUGUAAACCUCUUUUACCACCAACGCAGGCUCCACGUUUUCGUGGGGUUGACGGUAGGUGGGGAAUAAGGACCGGCUAACUACGUGCCAGCAGCCGCGGUAAUACGUAGGGUCCGAGCGUUGUCCGGAAUUAUUGGGCGUAAAGAGCUCGUAGGCGGCAUGUCGCGUCUGCUGUGAAAGACCGGGGCUUAACUCCGGUUCUGCAGUGGAUACGGGCAUGCUAGAGGUAGGUAGGGGAAACUGGAAUUCCUGGUGU